CAGGCCUAACACAUGCAAGUCGAACGAUGCUUUCGGGCAUAGUGGCGCACGGGUGCGUAACGCGUGGGAAUCUGCCCUUGGGUUCGGAAUAACAGUUGGAAACGACUGCUAAUACCGGAUGAUGUCGAUAAGACCAAAGAUUUAUCGCCCGAGGAUGAGCCCGCGUUGGAUUAGCUAGUUGGUGGGGUAAAGGCCUACCAAGGCGACGAUCCAUAGCUGGUCUGAGAGGAUGAUCAGCCACACUGGGACUGAGACACGGCCCAGACUCCUACGGGAGGCAGCAGUGGGGAAUAUUGGACAAUGGGCGAAAGCCUGAUCCAGCAAUGCCGCGUGAGUGAUGAAGGCCUUAGGGUUGUAAAGCUCUUUUACCCGGGAUGAUAAUGACAGUACCGGGAGAAUAAGCUCCGGCUAACUCCGUGCCAGCAGCCGCGGUAAU
rnacentral:rRNA from 1 species